UAGGGAAUCUUCGGCAAUGGGGGGAACCCUGACCGAGCAACGCCGCGUGAGUGAAGAAGGUUUUCGGAUCGUAAAGCUCUGUUGUUAAGGAAGAACGAGUGUGAGAAUGGAAAGUUCAUGCUGUGACGGUACUUAACCAGAAAGGGACGGCUAACUACGUGCCAGCAGCCGCGGUAAUACGUAGGUCCCGAGCGUUGUCCGGAUUUAUUGGGCGUAAAGCGAGCGCAGGCGGUCAAUUAAGUCUGAUGUGAAAGCCCCCGGCUCAACCGGGGAGGGUCAUUGGAAACUGGUUGACUUGAGUGCAGAAGAGGAGAGUGGAAUUCCAUGUGUAGCGGUGAAAUGCGUAGAUAUAUGGAGGAACACCAGUGGAGAAGGCGACUCUCUGGUCUGUAACUGACGCUGAGGCUCGAAAGCGUGGGUAGCAAACAGG
rnacentral:rRNA from 1 species